UCCGAUGGAGGGACCUCCACAGGCGCUGGCCCUUCUCCUUCCGCGGCUGUUCUAGGGUUCGGAAGGUGGCAAUUUGGGGGCGAUUUGAAGAGUUCAUAUGUUCGAUUUGGGGCGCAAGAAACGAUUCGGGUGAAAGAAGGAAAUAUUUGGCGCUGUGAUGGGACGCACGGGAUCUCGGAAGCGUCAGCUCUAGCGCUCACAUCGACUGCAAGCGGGCGGCUGUUCUUCGGUUCCUGUGCUAUAGCCGGGCGACUGACGAAGCGUCGGCUCGCUUCUCUCUCCUCCCUUCUCUUCCCUCCAGCGAGGAUUUUGCUGACGUGGAACGUCUUACAGCCGGCUGACUGUGAUCUAUUGUACUUGCUCUGA
rnacentral:lncRNA from 1 species